rnacentral:rRNA from 1 species
CCCUUAGAUGUUCUGGGCCGCACGCGCGCUACACUGAUGCAUUCAACGAGUCUAAAACCUGCUCUGAUAGGGGUGGGUAAUCUUUUGAAUGUGCAUCGUGAUUGGGAUAGAUGAUUGCAAUUUUUCAUCUUCAACGAGGAAUGCCUAGUAAACGCAAGUCAUCAGCUUGCAUUGAUUACGUCCCUGCCCUUUGUACACACCGCCCGUCGCUCCUACCGAUUGAAUGAUCCGAUGAAUAUCAUAGACUGAGAGUAUAAGCAGGUUCGCCUGUCUUUGCUUCUCGGGAAGUGGAGUAAAUCUUAUCAUUUAGAGGAAGGAGAAGUCGUAACA